CUGCUCACUUCAGCAGCAUGUAUACUAGAACUGGAAUGAUGCAAAGAAGCUGAGCAUGGGCCCCUGCGCAAGGAAGUCGCUCCAAGUCGGACAGCGUUCAAUAUUAAA
rnacentral:snRNA from 1 species